CCUACGGGGGGCUGCAGUGGGGAAUAUUGGACAAUGGGCGAAAGCCUGAUCCAGCCAUGCCGCGUGUGUGAAGAAGGUCUUCGGAUUGUAAAGCACUUUAAGUUGGGAGGAAGGGCAGUAAGCGAAUACCUUGCUGUUUUGACGUUACCGACAGAAUAAGCACCGGCUAACUCUGUGCCAGCAGCCGCGGUAAUACAGAGGGUGCAAGCGUUAAUCGGAAUUACUGGGCGUAAAGCGCGCGUAGGUGGUUUGUUAAGUUGGAUGUGAAAGCCCCGGGCUCAACCUGGGAACUGCAUCCAAAACUGGCAAGCUAGAGUACAGUAGAGGGUGGUGGAAUUUCCUGUGUAGCGGUGAAAUGCGUAGAUAUAGGAAGGAACACCAGUGGCGAAGGCGACCACCUGGACUGAUACUGACACUGAGGUGCGAAAGCGUGGGGAGCAAACAGGAUUAGAUACCCGGGUAGUC
rnacentral:rRNA from 1 species